CACAUAUAAAGUAUGCCUGGGAAAAUUCGAAAGAAAAGUACCCAGGCGUAUUCUUAUACCCAUGUCUUUUGCGUACUACUUGUUUCCUUGGUGGGCUUGCCUGCCAUUAGGACACCCCUACAAACCUUUUGUAAUUGCAGUCAGCGUCAGAAAAUAACGUAAUCGUUA
rnacentral:misc_RNA from 2 species